GCCGACACCCUUUGCCAACAAUUAUGAUGUCACAACCCAGAGAAGGGUUCACGGAAAGGAAGACGACAAUUGUUGAAGGAGGCGGAAUCCGACGAAACAAAGAGGCGGCAUCCGACUCUAUAUACUCGAUGAACCCUAAUUAGUGAUUUCUUAUUCUCUUUAUCUUUAAAUGCUAGAUUUGGAUGUACUCGAUUAUAAUGUAUUGCUGGAAAUCAUCGCCGCCUAACAUCAUUAUCAACCACUGUUACUCGAUCUAUAGUUGCAGAAUUUGCAGUUAAAUACAUUGAGCAUAUCGAGAAGAAACACAGGGAACCCGAAGAAUGUUAGUUCCUUAUUCUGUCAGAAUAGGUUUUACAAGUGUAUCACUACAAAUUACUUGGCAAUGAAUUUUUGGUAGAAAUGGCUUCAAGAAUGGCUUGAAGACCUGAUGGGAAAGGGUUGAAGAAUGAAUCAAAGAAUGAUCACACUCAUUUUUUAAGAAUGUUGUUAUUUUUUAAGAAUUA